AAAUUGAAGAGUUUGAUCAUGGCUCAGAUUGAACGCUGGCGGCAGGCCUAACACAUGCAAGUCGAACGGUAGCACAGAGAGCUUGCUCUCGGGUGACGAGUGGCGGACGGGUGAGUAAUGUCUGGGAAACUGCCUGAUGGAGGGGGAUAACUACUGGAAACGGUGGCUAAUACCGCAUAACGUCGCAAGACCAAAGAGGGGGACCUUCGGGCCUCUUGCCAUCAGAUGUGCCCAGAUGGGAUUAGCUUGUUGGUGAGGUAACGGCUCACCAAGGCGACGAUCCCUAGCUGGUCUGAGAGGAUGACCAGCCACACUGGAACUGAGACACGGUCCAGACUCCUACGGGAGGCAGCAGUGGGGAAUAUUGCACAAUGGGCGCAAGCCUGAUGCAGCCAUGCCGCGUGUAUGAAGAAGGCCUUCGGGUUGUAAAGUACUUUCAGCGGGGAGGAAGGUGUUGCGGUUAAUAAC
rnacentral:rRNA from 1 species